GGUGGCGAGUGGCGAACGGGUGAGUAAUAUAUCGGAACAUACCCAGUAAUGGGGGAUAACUAUCCGAAAGGAUAGCUAAUACCGCAUACGCCCUAAGGGGGAAAGAGGGGGAUCGCAAGACCUCUUGUUAUUGGAGUGGCCGAUAUCUGAUUAGCUAGUUGGUAGGGUAAAAGCCUACCAAGGCGACGAUCAGUAGCUGGUUUGAGAGAACGACCAGCCACACUGGAACUGAGACACGGUCCAGACUCCUACGGGAGGCAGCAGUGGGGAAUUUUGGACAAUGGGCGCAAGCCUGAUCCAGCAAUGCCGCGUGAGUGAAGAAGGCCCUCGGGUUGUAAAGCUCUUUUGUCAGGGAAGAAAAGGUGAUCUCUAAUACAGGUCACUCAUGACGGUACCUGAAGAAUAAGCACCGGCUAACUACGUGCCAGCAGCCGCGGUAAUACGUAGGGUGCAAGCGUUAAUCGGAAUUACUGGGCGUAAAGCGUGCGCAGGCGGUUAUAUAAGUCAGAUGUGAAAUCCCCGGGCUCAACCUGGGAACUGCAUUUGAGACUGUAUGGCUAGAGUGUGUCAGAGGGGGGUAGAAUUCCACGUGUAGCAGUGAAAUGCGUAGAUAUGUGGAGGAAUACCGAUGGCGAAGGCAGCCCCCUGGGAUAACACUGACGCUCAUGCACGAAAGCGUGGGGAGCAAACAGGAUUAGAUACCCUGGUAGUCCACGCCCUAAACGAUGUCUACUAGUUGUCGGGACUUAAUUGUCUUGGUAACGCAGCUAACGCGUGAAGUAGACCGCCUGGGGAGUACGGUCGCAAGAUUAAAACUCAAAGGAAUUGACGGGGACCCGCACAAGCGGUGGAUGAUGUGGAUUAAUUCGAUGCAACGCGAAAAACCUUACCUACCCU
rnacentral:rRNA from 1 species